rnacentral:tRNA from 1 species
GGUUGUAGCUCAGCGGUAGAGCACUUGCCUAGCACGCACAAGGCCCUGGGUUAGAUCCUCAGCACCA